rnacentral:rRNA from 1 species
GAGUAACACGUGGAUAACCUACCUAUAAGACUGGGAUAACUUCGGGAAACCGGAGCUAAUACCGGAUAAUAUUUUGAACCGCAUGGUUCAAAAGUGAAAGACGGUCUUGCUGUCACUUAUAGAUGGAUCCGCGCUGCAUUAGCUAGUUGGUAAGGUAACGGCUUACCAAGGCAACGAUGCAUAGCCGACCUGAGAGGGUGAUCGGCCACACUGGAACUGAGACACGGUCCAGACUCCUACGGGAGGCAGCAGUAGGGAAUCUUCCGCAAUGGGCGAAAGCCUGACGGAGCAACGCCGCGUGAGUGAUGAAGGUCUUCGGAUCGUAAAACUCUGUUAUUAGGGAAGAACAUAUGUGUAAGUAACUGUGCACAUCUUGACGGUACCUAAUCAGAAAGCCACGGCUAACUACGUGCCAGCAGCCGCGGUAAUACGUAGGUGGCAAGCGUUAUCCGGAAUUAUUGGGCGUAAAGCGCGCGUAGGCGGUUUUUUAAGUCUGAUGUGAAAGCCCACGGCUCAACCGUGGAGGGUCAUUGGAAACUGGAAAACUUGAGUGCAGAAGAGGAAAGUGGAAUUCCAUGUGUAGCGGUGAAAUGCGCAGAGAUAUGGAGGAACACCAGUGGCGAAGGCGACUUUCUGGUCUGUAACUGACGCUGAUGUGCGAAAGCGUGGGGAUCAAACAGGAUUAGAUACCCUGGUAGUCCACGCCGUAAACGAUGAGUGCUAAGUGUUAGGGGGUUUCCGCCCCUUAGUGCUGCAGCUAACGCAUUAAGCACUCCGCCUGGGGAGUACGACCGCAAGGUUGAAACUCAAAGGAAUUGACGGGGACCCGCACAAGCGGUGGAGCAUGUGGUUUAAUUCGAAGCAACGCGAAGAACCUUACCAAAUCUUGACAUCCUUUGACAACUCUAGAGAUAGAGCUUUCCCCUUCGGGGGACAAAGUGACAGGUGGUGCAUGGUUGUCGUCAGCUCGUGUCGUGAGAUGUUGGGUUAAGUCCCGCAACGAGCGCAACCCUUAAGCUUAGUUGCCAUCAUUAAGUUGGGCACUCUAAGUUGACUGCCGGUGACAAACCGGAGGAAGGUGGGGAUGACGUCAAAUCAUCAUGCCCCUUAUGAUUUGGGCUACACACGUGCUACAAUGGACAAUACAAAGGGCAGCGAAACCGCGAGGUCAAGCAAAUCCCAUAAAGUUGUUCUCAGUUCGGAUUGUAGUCUGCAACUCGACUACAUGAAGCUGGAAUCGCUAGUAAUCGUAGAUCAGCAUGCUACGGUGAAUACGUUCCCGGGUCUUGUACACACCGCCCGUCACACCACGAGAGUUUGUAACACCCGAAGCCGGUGGAGUAACCUUUUAGGAGCUAGCCGUCGAAGGUGGGACAAAUGAUUGGGGUGAAGUCGUAACAAGGUAGCCGUAUCGGAAGGUGCGGCUGGAUCACCUCCUUU